CGAACGGUAACAGGCUCUAGCUUGCUAGAGUGCUGACGAGUGGCGGACGGGUGAGUAACGCGUAGGAAUCUGCCUAAUAGUGGGGGAUAACCUUAGGAAACUGAGGCUAAUACCGCAUGAACACUUCGGUGUAAAGCGUGGGACCGUAAGGCCACGCGCUAUUGGAUGAGCCUGCGUUAGAUUAGCUAGUUGGUGGGGUAAAGGCCUACCAAGGCGAUGAUCUAUAGCUGGUCUGAGAGGAUGAUCAGCCACACUGGGACUGAGACACGGCCCAGACUCCUACGGGAGGCAGCAGUGGGGAAUAUUGGACAAUGGGGGAAACCCUGAUCCAGCAAUGCCGCGUGUGUGAAGAAGGCCUGCGGGUUGUAAAGCACUUUCGGUCGGGAGGAAAGGUUGAGUGUUAAUAGCAUUCAGCUGCGACGUUACCGGCAUAAGAAGCACCGGCUAACUCUGUGCCAGCAGCCGCGGUAAUACAGAGGGUGCGAGCGUUAAUCGGAAUUACUGGGCGUAAAGGGUGCGUAGGCGGUUUAGUAAGUCAGAUGUGAAAUCCCCGGGCUUAACCUGGGAACGGCAUUUGAUACUGCUAGGCUAGAGUAUGGUAGAGGAAAGCGGAAUUUCCGGUGUAGCGGUGAAAUGCGUAGAUAUCGGAAGGAACACCAGUGGCGAAGGCGGCUUUCUGGACUAAUACUGACGCUGAGGCACGAAAGCAUGGGGAGCCAACAGGAUUAGAUACCCUGGUAGUCCAUGCCGUAACCGAUGAGAACUAGCUGUUGGAAGGAUUAACCUUUUAGUAGCGAAGCUAACGCGAUAAGUUCUCCGCCUGGGGAGUACGGCCGCAAGGUUAAAACUCAAAGGAAUUGACGGGGGCCCGCACAAGCGGUGGAGCAUGCGGUUUAAUUCGAUGCAACGCGAAGAACCUUACCUACCCUUGUAUCCUCGGAAUCUCUCCGAAAAGAGAGAGUGCCUUCGGGAACCGAGAGACAGGUGCUGCAUGGCUGUCGUCAGCUCGUGUCGUGAGAUGUUGGGUUAAGUCCCGUAACGAGCGCAACCCUUAUCCUUAGUUGCCAGCGGUUAGGCCGGGAACUUUAAGGAGACUGCCGGUGACAAACCGGAGGAAGGUAGGGAUGACGUCAAGUCCUCAUGGCCUUUAUGGGUAGGGCUACACGUGUGCUACAAUGGUUGUUACAAAGGGUAGCGAGCCAGCGAUGGUGAGCCAAUCUCAAAAAAGCAAUCGUAGUCCGGAUUGGAGUCUGCAACUCGACUCCAUGAAGCUGGAAUCGCUAGUAAUCGCAAAUCAGAAUGUUGCGGUGAAUACGUUCUCGGGCCUUGUAC
rnacentral:rRNA from 1 species